UCGAUUCCCUUAGUAGCGGCGAGCGAAACGGGAAGAGCCCAAACCAACAAGCUUGCUUGUUGGGGUUGUAGGACACUCUAUACGGAGUUACAAAGGACGACAUUAGACGAAUCAUCUGGAAAGAUGAAUCAAAGAAGGUAAUAAUCCUGUAGUCGAAAAUGUUGUCUCUCUUGAGUGGAUCCUGAGUACGACGGAGCACGUGAAAUUCCGUCGGAAUCUGGGAGGACCAUCUCCUAAGGCUAAAUACUCUCUAGUGACCGAUAGUGAACCAGUACCGUGAGGGAAAGGUGAAAAGCACCCCGGAAGGGGAGUGAAAUAGAACCUGAAACCGUGUGCUUACAAGUAGUCAGAGCCCGUUAAUGGGUGAUGGCGUGCCUUUUGUAGAAUGAACCGGCGAGUUACGAUUUGAUGCAAGGUUAAGCAGUAAAUGUGGAGCCGUAGCGAAAGCGAGUCUGAAUAGGGCGUUUAGUAUUUGGUCGUAGACCCGAAACCAGGUGAUCUACCCUUGGUCAGGUUGAAGUUCAGGUAACACUGAAUGGAGGACCGAACCGACUUACGUUGAAAAGUGAGCGGAUGAACUGAGGGUAGCGGAGAAAUUCCAAUCGAACCUGGAGAUAGCUGGUUCUCUCCGAAAUAGCUUUAGGGCUAGCCUCAAGUGAUGAUUAUUGGAGGUAGAGCACUGUUUGGACGAGGGGCCCCUCUCGGGUUACCGAAUUCAGACAAACUCCGAAUGCCAAUUAAUUUAACUUGGGAGUCAGAACAUGGGUGAUAAGGUCCGUGUUCGAAAGGGAAACAGCCCAGACCACCAGCUAAGGUCCCAAAAUAUAUGUUAAGUGGAAAAGGAUGUGGCGUUGCCCAGACAACUAGGAUGUUGGCUUAGAAGCAGCCAUCAUUUAAAGAGUGCGUAAUAGCUCACUAGUCGAGUGACACUGCGCCGAAAAUGUACCGGGGCUAAACAUAUUACCGAAGCUGUGGAUUGUCCUUUGGACAAUGGUAGGAGAGCGUUCUAAGGGCGUUGAAGCAUG
rnacentral:rRNA from 1 species